CCCCUCCAGCCCAGCUUGAGCUCCAGCUCCAGCGCCGGCGCUUCAGCUGCGACCGCGAGCCCUCUCAAGAAAGGCCUACCCUCUGAAGAGGUCCAAGCAACGGAAGUACUACUACGAAGCUGCCUUUCUGGCCAUCCUUGAGAAAAACAGACAGAUGGCCAAGGAGAGGGGCCUAAUAAGCCCCAGUGAUUUUGCCCAGCUGCAAAAAUACAUGGAAUACUCCACCAAAAAGGUCAGUGAUGUCCUAAAGCUCUUCGAGGAUGGCGAGAUGGCUAAAUAUGUCCAAGGAGAUGCCAUUGGGUACGAGGGAUUCCAGCAAUUCCUGAAAAUCUAUCUGGAAGUGGAUAAUGUCCCCAGACACCUAAGCCUGGCACUGUUUCAAUCCUUUGAGACUGGUCACUGCUUAAAUGAGACAAAUGUGACAAAAGGUAUGGUCAAGCAGAUGUGGUGUGUCUCAGUGAUGUUUCCUGCUACUUUUCCCUUCUGGAGGGUGGUCGGCCAGAAGACAAGUUAGAAUUCACCUUCAAGCUGUACGACACGGACAGAAAUGGGAUCCUGGACAGCU
rnacentral:sRNA from 1 species